rnacentral:tmRNA from 1 species
GCUCUUUUUUCGUGAACCUUUUGCGCCUAUAUUCAAUGUUGCCGACGCAAGUCGGCUAUGGCGAUAAACGGCCGUCGUAAUAAACCUUUCGGACCCGGGGGCGGUACCCGGCGACUCCACCAAUGGGGUCGAAAUAGGAUCGACGAGGGCGUAAAGGACGCGCUUUUUGCUCGGCAUGGUUCCGCCGUUAUCGGGCCAAUCCAUAGUUGCAAACGACAACUAUGCUCCGGUUGCUCUGGCUGCGUAAGCAGCUCGAAAGACCGAUCUAAAGUCCUGACGUCUUAGCAGCGUCAGGCGGGGUUCGGAGGCACCUGGCAACAGAAGCCUCCACU